rnacentral:rRNA from 1 species
CCUACGGGAGGCUGCAGUGAGGAAUAUUGGUCAAUGGGCGCAAGCCUGAACCAGCCAAGUCGCGUGAGGGAUGACGGUCCUAUGGAUUGUAAACCUCUUUUGUCGGGGAGCAAGGCCCGCCACGUGUGGCGGGAAGGAGAGUACCCGAAGAAAAAGCAUCGGCUAACUCCGUGCCAGCAGCCGCGGUCAUACGGAGGAUGCGAGCGUUAUCCGGAUUUAUUGGGUUUAAAGGGUGCGUAGGCGGAAGGUUAAGUCAGCGGUAAAAUGUCGGUGCUCAACACCGGCCUGCCGUUGAAACUGGUCUUCUUGAGUGAGCGAGAAGUAUGCGGAAUGCGUGGUGUAGCGGUGAAAUGCAUAGAUAUCACGCAGAACUCCGAUUGCGAAGGCAGCAUACCGGCGCUCAACUGACGCUGAGGCACGAAAGCGUGGGGAUCGAACAGGAUUAGAUACCCCAGUAGUC